rnacentral:lncRNA from 12 species
UCAUCCCUACUUUACCACUAUACCUUUUAAAAAAAAAAAAAAGUUAUACUUCUUUUUUAACUAAAAUAGAGCCUGGGAUUUGAUGAUUUCUAAUGAUCUGAAACAGUUUCAAGAUCCUGGGAGGUGACCGUUUCAGAUGCUAUUUUGAGGCGACCGUGAAUUACUCAGUAUUUAUAUCUGAGCGUAGGGUUCGUUCUCUCCCCGAAAGGUUCCCGAGGAAAAAUCCAAAUCAUAAUGGACAAAUAGUAACAGAGGUGGAGCUUUCGUUUCCUUUUUUUUUUUUUUUUUUUUUUUAAUUUUGUCUUUCUUGGCAUUCUGUGUGAUUUCUCGAGUCCAUCCUGAUUUCUUUGAAGCUGUGUUUAUUGUUCUUGCUGCCACGGAACUCUUAUCAUGAACCCUAUUAUUAUUUCGCUGGGGAAAAAAAAAAAGAAGUUUAUUGCACACCUGUACGCCUUCUACAACCUCUCUGCUGAGGCUCUAGCAGAUCUUAGCACAUUUUCCAAGGCUCUUGAAGGCUCCAAGCCUUGAUCCGUGCUGUUCCUUUUCCUGGUUAUUCUCUACGACCUUUUCCAGCCUUUAAAAACUGGGCUCAAAUAUCACUUCCUCUGCAAAGCCUGCCAGAGAACUUCCAUUUUUGCAUUCAUCACAUUGCACUGUAAUUGUUUGUUUACACAUCUGUUUCCUCAACUGGACUCAGGGCUCCCUGAGGUCGGAAAUCUUCUCUUGUUCAACUUUGCAGCUUCCUGUCGGCGGCAGGGAAGUCCAGAGGCAGAAAGGUGGCCCACCCUAAGCAACUCUAAUCGCCACGUCUCCUAGAUGCUUGGACAGUGACACGAUAGAAACGGAAAAUUGGAGACACUCCCUCUCUAGCAUCAGAUCACUUCUGGUCACUUCCUCAUGGGCAUUAUUAAAUCAACUGAACAGCUAUCUUUAAAAUCCCCAUUAGGUUUCCGGGGAAACAAUAUUUAUAGAUACUGAGAGCCACCUUCUCCAUUCUUUUUCAAAAACAAAAUAAGAUAAAUCAAUAGGAAAUUUUCCAAAAUUGGGAAAAAUAAUACAGAGUUAAGGAUUUUUUUUUUUAAUUGUGUUUAUAAGACUAAGAAAGCCCUUCCCACGGAACCCUGGUUACUGCUAUUGCCACAGUGGCUAUUGCCACUGUCACCCUCUGGGAAUGUAGUGUGGAGUGGAGGGUCUUUGUCACAUCCCAUUGUCCCUAGAGAGUGAGUAUAAGGGGCUGUCCAGACACGGGGCUGGGAUGCUAUGGCAAAGACAGCGAGGGGCAUCCCACUUCGCUGAAUCAGGGUCCUGAAUCUUAGUGUCUCCUGGAGCUGUCGUGCCCAGGAGGAAUUAAAGGGGUGCAGCACGGGGUCCCGUGAGGACAAGGCUGUCAUCUGUGUUGACUCAGGCAGCAGAAGAGUUAGCGACUCCUCACGCUACACCAUGACCUCCAGCAUAGGAAAGCUUGCAGUCUCUGCCAAGGUCUCAGAAUCAUCCUUCUGGAGGAGCCAACAGGCACGAGAGGACAUAAAGGUGACAAAAUGAAGAAUGCUAACUUUUCAGCCUUCCUGGCAAGCUUUCUGAGGUGACAGGGUUGGAUGGGGUUCACCAAGCGAGUCUGGCAAACCUACGUGCUACUGGAACCAUAGCAGCUUUAGGCCACUUUUUAAAGUCAUUUAAAAGAAAGUAAAAUUAAUGUAGGGUGUUAUGAAUGGAGGGUUUGUAUUCCCCCAAACUGACAUGUUGAAAUCCUCAUCUCUAACAGAAUAGCGUUAGGAGGUGGGGGCCUUUGGGAGGUGGUUAGGUCACGAGAGCAGAACCCCCUGAGUGGAAUUAGCACCCCGUAUAAGAAGAGAGCUUGCUUCCUUCCUCUGCUAGCUGUCACGGGAGGCUACAUCCGUGGACAUAGCCAUCUGCAAGUCGCAGCGGGCUCUCCCCAGAUAUCCCAUCUUCUGGUGCCUUGACCUUGGACAUCCCAGGCUGAAGAACUGUUAAGAAAUAAAUACAUGUUGUUUAAACCA